GUGAGUGAUGAUGAUAAGCUCCCGCUGCAGGUGUGAAUAGAGACCCCGGAGGUGCGUCCUAGCCCUCAUCUGGGGAAGCGCACCUGCAUACAGACGGGUGCACCGGGGAGGAGGCGACCUGCCGCGUGUUCCUGCAAGCAGAAAAGGAGUUAACUAGUGUCACAUUUGAAGACGAGCACUGAGGAUGAGGAACCAACUGAAGAAUAUGAAAAUGUUGGAAAUGCAGCAUCUAAGUGGCCAAAAGUGGAGGAUCCUAUGCCUGAAUCUAAGUUUCAGAUGAACUCCCAUAAUGAAUGAUGAAUUUGUGAUGAGGGAUAACCUGGAAGUGGUAUUCACACAUUAUGCUACAAUAAAAGGUUCUACCGUGGAGAGGAUUUUGACACAUUCAGUAACUAAUGGAACACACCGUCAACAUGAAUUCGCACCUUACAUGACAGAAGUGAUUCAGGGAUUCCUAUGAAUAGAAAUGCUGAGAAGGAACGCAUUUUAUUGCAGAAGCUAAAAAGCUAAAGUACCAGUCAUCUAGAGAGAAGGAAAUUAAUGUUUCUUAAUAAUCCUGUUAAAUGUUUGAUUGUUUUUGGAAUGUGUUAUUGUAAAGAUGUCAUGCAGGACAUGUAUAUGUUGUCUGUUGUAAAAUGUUAACGAAUACUUUGUUCAGGGCUCACUCUCUCUUUGUCAUGAAAGCCAGCUCCUUGUGGCGAGGUAAAGUGGAAUUCCAAUAAAGAAAUUCCUUAAAUCAAAA
rnacentral:lncRNA from 1 species